UCCUGUUUCACUCAUUAAAUUGCCCAGUUAGUGAUGAACACCAGUCUAAUUUUUCCAUGAGAGUUUAAUGAAAUGGUAACAAAUCAAUUGGAAGUUCUGUCCGACAAAAUAUAUGGAACGUUUUUGUAGUCUGACGUUCCAAAUUUUUAACCUGUUCCACAAUUAAAACUUCCCCUGUUUCAGUGUUCCCGUACAUCAGUACUUGUCUGACGAGACACCGUUAAGCUAUUAACAAAUUUUCAGCUUGCUAUUAAUCAACUUUUUGUUGGUACGCGGGAUCCAGGCCUAGAAAUACAAUGUCACAAAUGAUGGCGUAAUCCCUUUUCUAUAGGUAUAAAAAUUUUGUAAAUAUCAUUCAUUUCUUAAAUCUACACAACAUUAUCAUUAAAAACCGUUAAGCAUAUCUGUGAAUAUCGCACAACCC
rnacentral:lncRNA from 1 species